UAUGACCACAUCAAGUUGAAACACUGGUUCCCAUACAAUCACCAAAGUUAAGCAACAUUAAGCUUGGUUCAUACAUAGAUGGGGGACUCCUUGGGAAUACCAGGAAUAG